rnacentral:rRNA from 1 species
GACUCUCGGCAAUAGAUAUUUUGGCUCUCGCAUCGAUGAAGAAAGUAGCAAAAUACGAUACUUGGUGUGAAUUGUAGAAUCCUGUGAACCAUCGAGUCAUUGAACGUAAGUUGUUCUUGAAGCCAUUAGGCUGAGGGCAUGUCUACCUGGGCAUCA